AUUUGACGAACGAAGCGGAGAGGGUGCCGUCGUUGUUCUCGGCGCCGAAUCCGACUUUCCCGCCGCGGAGGUCGGUGAUGUUGACGAAUCCGGCGGAGCCCGGGGCGGUGCCGGUGGCUUGGUACAUUGUGGCGGCGAGGGCGGUGCCGUUGGUGAUCUGGUGGAGCUUCUUGGCGCCGAAGUAGUCGAGGAGGACGUGGAGGGAGAGGAUGUUCUUGACGGUGGUGAUUGAUGGGUGUUUUGAGAGGAGGUCGUCCAUGGCGGCGUUGUUGACGGCGCAGACGGUGAUUGUGGUCCGUUGGUUGAUCUCGGCGGCGAGGUGGGUGAGGGUGAGGUAGUGGUUGAAGGGGGAGAACUCGGGGGGCUUGGCGAGAAUGCCGGGGAUGUU
rnacentral:lncRNA from 1 species